UACGGGGGGGUAAGCGUUGUUCGGAAUUACUGGGCGUAAAGGGCUCGUAGGCGGCCAACUAAGUCAGACGUGAAAUCCCUCAGCUUAACUGGGGAACUGCGUCUGAUACUGGAUGGCUUGGAUUCGGGAGAGGAAUGCGGAAUUCCAGGUGUAGCGGUGAAAUGCGUAGAUAUCUGGAGGAACACCGGUGGCGAAGGCGGCAUCCUGGACCAAUAUUGACGCUGAGGAGCGAAAGCCAGGGGAGCAAAGCGGG
rnacentral:rRNA from 1 species